rnacentral:rRNA from 1 species
AUGCAGCAUCAGAUAUGUGCUCUGUUUAAUGGCAUAAACUAUGAUGUAAAACAAGCAUAUACUUGCCUCUAUUGCUAUAUUGAUGAAGUGAAGCAUGGGCUGCACGUGCCUUCACCACAGAGUGCUGUUCUUGGGGCAAGUGAUCUGCCAAGAACUGUUCUUAGCGAUCAUAUUGAAGAGCGGCUUUUUAAACGGCUUAAGCUGGAGAGACAGGCACGGGCAUCUCAGUCAGGAUGUAGUUUUGACGAGGUUGCUGGAGCAGAUGGUCUUGUGGUCAGAGUUGUUUCAUCAGUGGAUAAGAAGGUUGGAGUUAAACCACGUUUUUUGGAAACUUUUCAAGAAGAUAAUUACCCGACGGAAUUCCCUUACAAGUCCAAGGCUGUUCUUUUGUUCCAGAAAAUAGAUGGUGUAGAAGUCUGCUUAUUUGGAAUGUAUGUUCAAGAAUUUGGUGCUGAAUGCGCUUUCCCGAACCAACGUCGUGUUUACUUGUCAUACCUGGAUUCUGUGAAAUACUUCAGACCCGGGAUUAAAGCAGCCACUGGAGAGGCCUUGCGUACAUUCGUCUACCAUGAAAUUCUGAUAGGAUAUCUUGAAUACUGCAAGCAGCGUGGAUUCACAAGCUGUUAUAUAUGGGCUCGCCCACCUCUGGAAGGUGAUAACAUUUUUUAUUGCAAUCCUACGAUUCAGACGACUCGAACAUCUGACAUACUCCGGGAGUGGUGCUUAGCCAUGAUUCGAAAAGCUACUAAGGAGGAGAUUGUUGUUGAGCUUACAAAUCUGUAUGACCAUUUCUUCAUUACUACGGGAGAGUGCAAGGCUAAAGUUACUGCUUCUCGUUUGACUUACUUCGAUGGAGAUUACUGGCCAGGAGCUGCCGAAGGUAUGGUCAAUCAACUGCAUCAAGAAGAAGAUGACCAAAAGCUUCAGAAGAAGGGUAAUGCAAAGAAAAUUAUUAGAAAAAGAGCUCUUGAAGCUGCUGGCCACACUGAUCUAAGUGGGAACGCUUCCGAGGAUGAUAUGCUGAUGCAAAAGCUUGGGGAAACCAUUUAUCCAAUGAAGGAAGAUUUCAUUAUGGUCCAUUUGCAGUAUUCUUGUAGCCAUUGUCGUAGCUUUAUGUCGUCUGGAAAACGUUGGGCUUGUCAUCAAUGCAGAAGUUUUUACAUAUGUGACAAGUGCUACAGUGCAGAACAAGAGCUUGAAGAGAGGGAGAGGCAUCCGAGCAAUAGUAGAGAAACUCAUGAGCUCCAUCCGGUUGACAUUGUGGGUGUGCCUGAAGAGACAAAGGAUGGAGACGGUAUCAUAGAAAACAAGUUUUUCGACACCAGGCACGCGUUUCUCAGUCUUUGUCAAGAGAACCAUUACCAAUUUGACACCCUUCGCCGUGCCAGGCAUUCGUCGAUGAUGGUGUUGUACCACCUACAUAAUCCCACUGUCAAGUAUAAUGGUGCUGUGUAG